ACAAGGAUUAUUUCCGAUGUCAUGAAUAAACAUGAACUUCCUAGAUAUAUGAAAAGUAAAAUAAAUGAGUGUAUAAUGCUCCUAUUCAACAUUAUAAUGUUUUUUGGUGUGAGAGGUGAAAAGGGACCAUGUGAAAGUUUCUAUAAUGGAUGCUGUCCAUACACACAAUGGAGCUCGAAAGAGGACAAAUGUGUCGAUUGUCCGUCUGGCUAUUAUUGGAUAAGCUGCAGUAAAACAUGCCCCUAUCCAAGAUUUGGAGUAAAAUGCUCUCUAACAUGUGACUGUGAGGAACAAUGGUGCGACUUCAUGAAUGGGUGCUUAAAUGAUUCUCUAUCAUUUCAACAUGACAAAUCUGAUCUCCCCUCUAAACCGGAUAUCACAACAAAAGAAAUCACACGGUCAUGUAAGCAUUUUAUCUUAUCACUUUUCUGUUAAACAACACCUUAGCUCCUUUACCUUUAGUUAUUUCUACGAACUUAAUGAACCAAUAUUGACUAGAGUUAGCUUGUAAAAACUGUAGAAUAAAAGUUUAAUUAAUGAGUUAUGGUUAUCUAAGUCACUAAGGUUACAUGUACAAUUUAUUCGUCCGCCGUCUUCUGAAAUGAAACAAUUUAACUUCUCAUUUAACACUUCUUAGAAAAGUCAUUUUCCCCCGAAAUUUGCAUGGUGUAUAUUCUAUGGAGUAAAUCAUGGUACUACUUCAUGAUUUUUUUAACACGUGGCCAACAAGAAAAACGCCUAACAUCCGAAAUGUUGACACAAUUUCAAAAUUCAUCUAUACAUGUACCUUGGCAUAUAUUAAAGAGAAGAUGAAUGAAAUUUUAUGUAACGACAAACUUGUUUACCCCUGUCUAGUACUUUAUUUCUUUUUUUUUAAAUAUUCUGAAACUUAGAGAAAUUUGAAUGCAAAUUUGUAAAGAAAAUGCCCCGCAUGAAAAAAAUCUUCAAAAUAACAGUGCAUCAGGUUAAAUAUCUUCAUACACCCUAAAUCUAAAUUUAUAGCUGCUUAACUUUACAUACAUUACAAUGCAAAAGUUUUUACGUAAUGCAUAUUAAUUCAGUAAUACGCAUUAUUUACCUUCUACAUUUAUCUUCGAUUACCACCAUGUUGUUGUUACAUGUACAUGUACGCUCUUUGCUGCACAGCCACUAAAAGGCAGGAGCACUAUGCAUGCUUCAUUGCAUUCAAAUAUUUUACUCACUCGAAUACGUCACAUUGAACGAGGUAAGGACUGGUAAGGAAUACACAUUGAAACCGAAACAAAAUAAACUGAAAGCCAAGCACGCUUAUUUAAAAACAAUAUUGAUAAAUGUAAAAGGUUUCCAUGUGUCGUGCUGUCGUGUAAUCGCACAUGCGCAACCAUACACUUUAGCAGAGCGUGCACAAACAGCAUCGACCUUAGA